rnacentral:rRNA from 1 species
AUUGAACGCUGGCGGCAGGCCUAACACAUGCAAGUCGAGCGGCAGCACAGUGCUUGCUCCUGCAUACAGCUGCCGACUGGUGAGUGAUGCCUAGGAAUAUCCCUGGCAGUGGGUGAUAACGUCCUAACACGGGCGCUCAUACCGCAUUAGUCCUGACGAACAACGGGGGGGAUCUUCGGACCUCCCGCUAUCAGAUGAUCCGAGGUCGGAUUAGCUAGUUGGUGGGGUAAAGGCCUACCAAGGCGACGAUCCGUAACUGGUCUGAGAGGAUGAUCAGUCACACUGGAACUGAGACACGGUCCAGACUCCUACGGGAGGCAGCAGUGGGGAAUAUUGGACAAUGGGCGAAAGCCUGAUCCAGCCAUGCCGCGUGGGUGAAGAAGGUCUUCGGAUUGUAAAGCCCUUUUAGUGGGGAAGAAGAGCAGUAAGUUAAUACCUUGCUGUUUUGACGGUACCAACAGAAUAAGCACCGGCUAACUUCGUG